rnacentral:rRNA from 1 species
CUCCGGUUGAUCCUGCCGGACCCGACUGCUAUCAGAGUGGGACUAAGCCAUGCGAGUCAACAUAGCAAUAUGUGGCAUACGGCUCAGUAACACGUAGUCAACAUGCCCAGGGGACGUGGAUAACCUCGGGAAACUGAGGAUAAACCGCGAUAGGUCAUCACUUCUGGAAUGGGUAAUGACUUAAAUCUAUAUGGCCCCUGGAUUGGACUGCGGCCGAUCAGGCUGUUGGUGAGGUAAUGGCCCACCAAACCUGUAACCGGUACGGGCUCUGAGAGGAGGAGCCCGGAGAUGGGCACUGAGACAAGGGCCCAGGCCCUAUGGGGCGCAGCAGGCGCGAAACCUCUGCAAUAGGCGAAAGCUUGACAGGGUUACUCUGAGUGAUUUCCGUUAAGGAGAUCUUUUGGCACCUCUAAAAAUGGUGCAGAAUAAGGGGUGGGCAAGUCUGGUGUCAGCCGCCGCGGUAAUACCAGCACCCCGAGUGGUCGGGACGUUUAUUGGGCCUAAAGCAUCCGUAGCCGGUUCUACAAGUCUUCCGUUAAAUCCACCUGCUUAACAGAUGGGCUGCGGAAGAUACUAUAGAGCUAGGAGGCGGGAGAGGCAAGCGGUACUCGAUGGGUAGGGGUAAAAUCCGUUGAUCCAUUGAAGACCACCAGUGGCGAAGGCGGCUUGCCAGAACGCGCUCGACGGUGAGGGAUGAAAGCUGGGGGAGCAAACCGGAUUAGAUACCCGGGUAGUCCCAGCUGUAAACGAUGCAGACUCGGUGAUGAGUUGGCUUAUUGCUAACUCAGUGCCGCAGGGAAGCCGUUAAGUUUGCCGCCUGGGGAGUACGGUCGCAAGACUGAAACUUAAAGGAAUAGGCGGGGGAGCA